GUGAGGGAGACCGCGGGGAAGGGAGAAUCCGAGCCCCCCAGGAGGAGGGAUUUGUGGUGGACGCGGCCUGUAGAGGGUCGGGGACUCGGGCUUCUAGGAGUUAAACUGGACCCCUCUCCGCACAGCGGCCCGUUUACUGUCCCGCACUGUGCCAGACGCCUUGGGUGACACUCAGAGGACACAAAUCCAGGAGCCAUUCCUUCUGCCUGGGAGGAGGGAGUGAUGAAGACCAGAGGAAUCCCAGAGGAGAAGCCAUCUGAGAUCGGGAGGAGGAGAAAUGGAACAUCAGGCGGAGGAAACAGCCCAGACAAUCGCACUGGGACGUGAAAACCCUUGGGCUGCAUGCGGGGAGAAAACCAGAAUUGGGGAUGGUUAGGGUUUUGGAGGGAAACACAGGGACAUGUGACCAAAAAUAAUAAUAACUACUGUUACUUAUUGAGGACUUUCUAUGUACUAGAAUAAGAAAAUCAUGAUAGCUAAGACUGAUAAAACGCUAAGUGUCAAACGCUGUCUUCAGCACUUUACACAUAUUCACUUAUUUAAUUAAUCGGAGAAAAUAACUUUUAUGAGCCAGGGACUCUGCAUACAUUAUCUCUUUUCAUUAGCCCAGUAAUCCCAUGGGGUAGGUACUAGUACUAUCCCUGUUUUAGAAAUGAGGAAAUCAAACCUGAGAGGCUAAACCACUUGCCCAAGAUUACACAGCUAAUGUCAGUGCCUAGAUUCAAACCCACAUCCGUAUAACUCCAGAGCCUGAUGCAACACACCUUAUUUUCCAGGUGGAGAAACUGAUAAUGAGAGAGAAAUGACUUGCCUAAGAUCCCUCAGCAAGUUUUAGCAAAGCCUCGUUGUAGAAUCCCAGCCUCAAACCUCGUCCAUCUGUUCCUUUUUCUGAGCCUCUUUAGUCAAACCCAGGUUGACUAGAGAAGUGCUAAGUGUUGGAGAGGGCGAGGCACUCCUGAAGAUGAUGGGUAGGUAGGUCUAUCAAACCCUACUCAUGGGCACCCAUGAGGGAAAUCAAAUAAGUGGUUCUGGCCAUUAAUGUCGUUUGGGACUCCGUUAGUCUCCAGCUGCUGUAAAAUUCGUAUCUUUCUGUGAACCCGAAAUAUCUGAGAUAGGUCUCAGUCAAUUUAGAAGGUUAAUUUUGCCAAGCUUAAGAACGUGCUCAUGACACAGCCUCAGGAGGUCCCAACAUGUGCCCAGGGUGGUGGGGGUGUAGCCUCCUUUUAUAUAUUUUGGGGAGACAUGAGACAUCAAUCAAUAUGUGUAGGAUGUACAUUGCUUCCGGUCCGGUAAGGCAAGACAACUCCAAGCUGCAGAAAGGGUGGUGCUUCCAGGUUAUAAGUAGAUAAGAAACAGAAGAGGUUACAUUCUUUUGAGUCCUUGAUCAACCUUCCACUGAAUACACAAUUUAGUCUAGCUCAGUGAAUCUACAUUUUUACAUAAACAAUAGGGCAGAAGAAGCAAUCAGAUAUGCAUUUGUUUCCGGUGAGCCUCAGAGGGAUGGCUUUAAAUUCUGUCUGUCCUUUGUCCACAAGGAAUUUCCUUGUGUGAAAAUUGUGAGGAAGGUAUGUAGCUGUUUCUCUUUGUAGCUAUCUUAUUUAAGAAUAGGAUGGUGGCCUGGCAUUGUGGCUUAGGCCUGUAAUCCCAGCACUUUGGGAGGCCAAGGCGGGCAGAUCACCUGAGGUCAGGAAUUCGAGACCAGUCUGACCAAUGUGGCGAAACCCUGUCUCUACUAAAAAUACAAAAAAAAUUAGCCAGGCGUGGUGGCACACCUGUAAUCCCAGCUACUCAGGAGGCUGAGGCAGGAGAUCGCUUAAACCUCGGAAGGGGAGGUUGCAGUGAGCCAAGAUCACGC
rnacentral:lncRNA from 10 species